AUUCAAACUUUUAUGGCAUAUAGCUGCUAAUCUAUAUAUUAUAUAAAGCUUAAAGAUGAAAGAUUAAUGUGACUUGAGUUGUAGAAAAUCACUGCACAUGCACUAUAUAUUACUCCAAUUCUAUUUGACAAGGAACAUGAAAAGUUCACAUAACUUUUGGAAGCUCAAGGGAAAAAAUAGUAAAUGUGAGAUAUGAAAUAGUAGGAUUGUAAAUUGAGUUCAAGUAAUCUGUAUUAGGUUAAUUAAUGGGGAG
rnacentral:lncRNA from 1 species